UUUAAAACGUAACACGUCAUGCCAUCCACGAUUGAUCAAUUUCUACGAAAUUUUGUAACAUUCAAUGAAUCAUGCAUAACAAUACGCUUUCAUUUUUACAUAUAUUUCAUUCUAAAUUCCAUCCUCUAAUCUUGACUUUCUCAUUUCGAUCCGCACAAAAAUUGAAUAGAUACGAGUCAACAAUCUUAUCUCAACAAUCCAUCCCCUCCCACAUAUAAAUUUCAUUCAAUAUCCAUCCAUACAUACACACGCGUUUCCAUAAACAUUGUUCCCAAUUCGCGAUCUUGAAAUUAACAAACCAAAUUAGGAGCAGAAGCCUCCGCCUACCGGGAUUCCCUUUAACCAGGCGUGCAACAUCGGCUCGAAAACGUGACCAUCGAUGGUUUCCUACGGAGACCUCCCCCCUCCGGAUCCGCGGAUCACCGACGUCAGCUGAAAGUGGCCCGCUUGCACGCAUUUCCCAUUUCGAUACCACCACCACCACCACCACCACCAUGCCGUGUAUCACGAAACCCAGAUUUCGUUUUGUAUCCGUCGGUCGGUGUGCACCGACUGCAGUGACCGCAGCCAUCCGUCGCAUAUAGGAUUCGUGGCUGGGAAUCGGAUUCACGUGCACCUAUGUUGUUAUUACCGUGCCAUAGGGGUAUUUGUAUACUGGCUUACCAAGAGCACCGAUAUUGAAUCCGAUAAUAGACAUUACUUCUGCCCCGUUCCCGAUCCCUUCUCGAACCCUCUCCCCCCCCUCCUUCCCCUUUGUCCCGCUCCCGCCCACGUAACGCCGCCCACGGAACCGACAGAUCCGCCAAAUAUCGCGGCGGGGCGCGUGAAACGCGUGCGUGAACGCAAUCAUCAUCCGUGUGUGUGUGCGCGUGUGUACACAACCGAAACCCGAGUUACGUUUCGAUACGUGUGCAGGGAAGAGGAGAGAGGGGGCGCACAACACCGAAAACGAGCGUACACAGCGAUCGAGUUUCCAAGGGGGGCUCUGGGGGCUGGUUGCUGCCGUAGAUUCGCGCCUGUCCAAACAGUCAAAAUGCCUGUACACACGUGUGUAUAUAUAUAUGUAUAUGUAUAUGUAUGUAUGUGUGGGUGCGGAUGUGUGUUUGAUCAUCGUGGAGAUUGUCCAUCGGGCAGAUUUUCCAAGCUAAUCAGCGCGACGAGGUCCGAUGAGAGAGAUAAGGGUGGAGUAAGGCGGGAUACGGGGGAAUUUUGGUUUGGAGAAGGAUAUUAGGAGGAAUUGAAAGUUUCGUAUUACGUAAUGAUUCAAGAAUCUCGAUAUUAUUGGUAAGAUAUUAUUUCUUGGAAAUAAAUAUAUCUUAUUAAAUAAAACAUGAUUGGAUCGUAUUGAAAUUGGGAAAAAUUUGGACCGCUAUAACUUCGAGAAUAAAUGAGCGAUUCUCGAUCAAUGAGCGAGCGAUAGAAACGUGGAACUUUGCUUUUUAAAACGGUUCUUCAUUUAUCCCGAUACGACUUCCCGUUCCCGAGAUAUCGUCGUGCAAGAAAGAGGUAAUUUUUAAUCGUUUCUCCAUCUUUUUCCUUACUCCCUCCCUUUCCUGUUCCAAAGUCCGCGGAAAUGAUAAAUGCGAUUCCUGGAAGAAAGAACGCGUUCAAAUCUGCAUUUCCAAGAAAAAAAAAUGUAGAUCGCCGAGUCAUUCGAGUAACUUCAUUCGAACUCUAUAAUUUAACGCGCGUUUUUUAUAUCGAUCGGUCAUUCGAAUAUCUUCUUUACCUACACAAAAAAUUUCGCGAUCAUAUAACGAGGAUAACGAAGGCCGAGAACUGAACGCGAUCGAAAUAUUAAAUUCGAUAAAUUAAUUCCUCGAAGGAUCGAUAAGGCGAACGGUGUAUCGAGGAAAAAAUGUCAACAAAUUCUUGCCAAGCCUCGUUUCCCCAUCCACAACAAACGGUUUAUCGAACCAGGCAAUAUUCGCCUUUCACACGUUCCUCGACGCGUUCAGUCCCGAAUUCGCCACGGUGGAAUACGGCCGCGUGGCAAACACGCAAUAGUGUACUUACGCAACGCGGUUCGCGCGUGCUACGUAGUGCUGCGUAGUGUACACGCGUGUCGUUCACGCGUAUCUCUCAUCGAAAUGCCGCACGGUCGUGUGUCAACGGGAGAUGGUGUUCACGUGCCUAUUUAACAUUUUAACGGAUACGUUGUCACGUAUGCGGUGGCCGUCACCUGUCAUCGUUCGACGUGACUUUGUUCUAAACGGAAGACAUUCGAAAAGAAAUUGGUUUGCCAACGAAUACCUCGAUCGUUCGUCCUUUUAUCUGGAAAUCUGGAUCAAUGAAAAAUCGAGGUAACGACACACCUAGGCGACAGCGAAUCGCACGGCGAACAAAAGAUCCAAUACCAUUUCCCAACUCCCAUUGUUCGGGCACACGCGAAACGGUACGAAGACACCGCAAAUCCCUUCAAAAGGGAGCAGCGCGUCAAUGUUGGUGAACAGUUAUCGAAGCGUCAGACCACCUUGGUGCAUAAAGGGGGCAUUAAACAUCCUGCGAGCAAUCACGAUCCAGCAAAGCGAUCUAGGUCGAUACGUUUCGUAGGUAACGAUUAAUACGAUCCUCUAUCGUAAUCGAGGGGCGGCUAUGGAAUACGCAUGGACGGUCAGAGAGGGAUGUCUGUUGGCCUCCGCGGAUCCAUUCGAUCGGAGAUUCGCUCGGACGAGGAGUAGACUGGGCUCGAUCGGUAAUAUGGGACGUGCGUUACCGAGAGAGGGUUGCGACGGAUCAUGCCAGGACAUAAUACAUACAUACAUACAUACAUACAUACAUACAUACAUACAUAUCGUAUUCGACGGGAUUACGUAACGUGGUGCUCUCUGAUUGGCUAAUGGGCAACGCUGCAAAUGGUUCGACAUCGUUAUGGUUAGGCGAAACGACUCUAUUGUUGUCCCGGGAUACAAUGAGCGAGCUAUAUUACUCGAUAAUUAGCGCGAACAGUUCGGAAGGAAAAAAAGUGUUACUGGAAAGAAGGAGGAAGAAGAAGUGGAUUGUAAGAUGUAAUUUUGAGAAAUUGGGAAAAGGAUGUGAAGAUUUGAAGUUUUGAAGUUGUAAAUUUGGUAUUGUAGAUAAUCGUAGGAUAUGAAGGAUCGAUUCUGGAAAACAAAAUGUUAAAAAUAUAAAAAUUUCGAAUGGAGGAUUAAUAAUUA